rnacentral:rRNA from 1 species
UACGUAGGUGCGAGCGUGUCGGCAAUUAUUGGGCGUAAAGAGCUCGUAGGCGGUCUGUCGCGUCGGCUGUGAAAUCCCGAGGCUCAACCUCGGGUCUGCAGUCGAUACGGGCAAACUAGAGUAUUGCAGGGGAGACUGGAAUUCCUGGUGUAGCGGUGAAAUGCGCAGAUAUCAGGAGGAACACCGGUGGCGAAGGCGGGUCUCUGGGCAAUAACUGACGCUGAGGAGCGAAAGCGUGGGGGAGCGAACAGG